rnacentral:rRNA from 1 species
CAGUAGCCGCGGUAAUACGAAGGGUGCAAGCGUUACUCGGAAUUACUGGGCGUAAAGCGUGCGUAGGUGGUGGUUUAAGUCCGUUGUGAAAGCCCUGGGCUCAACCUGGGAAUUGCAGUGGAUACUGGGUCACUAGAGUGUGGUAGAGGAUAGUGGAAUUUCCGGUGUAGCAGUGAAAUGCGUAGAGAUCUGGAGGAAUACCGGUGGCGAAGGCGGCCCCCUGGACGAAGACUGACGCUCAGGUACGAAAGCGUGGGGAGCAAACAGGAUUAGAUACCCCCGUAGUCCCUGUCUCUUAUAC